rnacentral:rRNA from 1 species
AAUGAACGCUGGCGGCAUGCCUUACACAUGCAAGUCGAACGGCAGCAUGACCUAGCUUGCUGGGUUGAUGGCGAGUGGCGAACGGGUGAGUAAUGCAUCGGAACGUGCCUUUUAGUGGGGGAUAACGUAGCGAAAGUUACGCUAAUACCGCAUAUUCUCUGAGGAGGAAAGCAGGGGACCUUCGGGCCUUGCGCUAGAAGAGCGGCCGAUGUCGGAUUAGCUAGUUGGUGAGGUAAAGGCUCACCAAGGCAACGAUCCGUAGCGGGUCUGAGAGGAUGAUCCGCCACACUGGGACUGAGACACGGCCCAGACUCCUACGGGAGGCAGCAGUGGGGAAUUUUGGACAAUGGGCGCAAGCCUGAUCCAGCCAUGCCGCGUGAGUGAAGAAGGCCUUCGGGUUGUAAAGCUCUUUCGGCUGGGAAGAAAUCGCACCCUCUAAUACAGGGUGUGGAUGACGGUACCAGCAUAAGAAGCACCGGCUAACUACGUG